UACAUUUUAGUAUAAGAGGUACAGGAGCCUUUGAAGUUCCAGGAGGUAGUCUAAUUCUAUCAAGUGUAA
rnacentral:tRNA from 2 species